UUUGAUUUUUUUAGGACAAAA
rnacentral:piRNA from 1 species